AUAUAUUUUAUUUAUUAAUUAUAUUAUAUUUUAAUUUAAUUUAUUAAAAAUAAUUAUAUAAAGUAAUGUUUUAUUUUUAUAUCAAGAAAAAAUAAAUUUAAUUAUAGAGUAUUAAGUAUUGUAAAAGAAUAUUGAAAUAAUUGAAAAAUUUAUAUAUAUAAAGAAAAUUUAAUUUAUUGUACCUUGUGUGUCAGGGUUUAUUAAUUAAAAAAUAAAAAUUUAUUUUUCUCGAUUUUAAAAGAGCUAAUAAAUUAUUUUAUUUAAUGUUACAAAAUUAUUAAUAAUAAUUUAUUUGAAAUGAAAUGUUAUUCGUUUUUAAAGAUAUCUAGUUUUUUAAGAAAUAAAUUUAAUUUAAAUUAUUAAAGUUUUAUAAAUUUAUUUGUAUAAUUUUAUAAUUUUAAUAAUUAUUAUUUUAUGGGAUAAGCUAUAAAAUAAAUUUUUAAAAAUUAAUAAAAAUUAAUUUAUAUAAUAUAUGUUUAGAAUUAGCAAUUAUUUAUAAGUUUGUUAUAAAUUUAUAUAGAAUUAUAUAUUAUUUAUUUAAUUUUAAAUAUUUAUUAAAAUAUUUAUUUUAAUAUUAAAAAUAAAUAAAUAAUGAUAAAAUUAGUAUAUUAUUUAUUUACAAAUAAUUAAAUUUGAUAAGUUUUUAUUAAGAAUUCGGCAAAAAUAAUAUAUUCGCCUGUUUAACAAAAACAUGUCCUUUAGAAUUUAAUUUAAGGUUUGACCUGCCCACUGAAUUUUGAAUGGCCGCAGUAUAUUAACUGUGCAAAGGUAGCAUAAUAAUUAGUCUUUUAAUUGAAGGCUUGUAUGAAUGGUUGGACGAAAUAUAAACUGUUUUAUUUAAAUUUACAUUAGAAUUUUAUUUUUUAGUUAAAAAGCUAAAAUUUUUUUAAAAGACGAGAAGACCCUAUAGAUCUUUAUAAUAUAUUUAAUUUUAAUUAUAAAGAUUAAUUAAAUUAUAAUUAUUUAUAUUAUUUUAUUGGGGUGAUAUUAAAAUUUAUUAAACUUUUAAUUUUAAAAAUACAUUAAUUUUUGAAUAUAUGAUCCUUUAUUAAUGAUUAAAAAUUUAAGUUACCUUAGGGAUAACAGCGUAAUUUUUUUAGAGAGUUCUUAUCGAUAAAAAAGAUUGCGACCUCGAUGUUGGAUUAAGAGAUAAUUUUAGGUGUAGAAGCUUAAAUUUUAAGUCUGUUCGACUUUUAAAUUCUUACAUGAUCUGAGUUCAAACCGGCGUAAGCCAGGUUGGUUUCUAUCUUUAAUUAAAAUAAAUAUUUUAGUACGAAAGGACCAAAUAUUUAAAAUAAUUUUUUCUUAUUGAAUAUAAUUAAU
rnacentral:rRNA from 1 species